rnacentral:SRP_RNA from 1 species
GCCAGGUGUGGCAGCACACGCCUGUAGUCCCAGCUACUCAGGAGGCUGAGGCAGGAAAAUCAAUUGAGCCCAGGGGUCUUGUGCUGUGGUGCUCUUCCUAUCAGGUGUCUGCACUAAGUUCAGCAUCAGUAUGGUGACAUUCUGGGAGUAGGGGACUAAUUGACUAAGGAGGGAUUAAAUAGCUCAGGAAAUAAACAGAGUAGGUCAAAUCUCCCAUGCUGAUCAGUAGUGGGACUGUUUCUGUGAAAAGCCACUAUACUCAAGGGGCAGCAUAGUGACACCCCAUAUCU